UUUUUUUUUUUAGUAGAGACGGGGUUUCACUGUGUUAGCCAGGACGGUCUUGAUCUCCUGACCUCGUGAUCCGCCCGUCUCGGCCUCCCAAAGUGCUGGGAUUACAGGCUUGAGCCACCGCAGCCGGCCCCAUCUGUCCUUUUAAUUCCUUUUCUUCUCCCAGAGUUCCUGCCUCCCCCAUGUCCUGAAAGCUUCACAUCACCCUCUCUCCCAAAGGUUAGUAGGUCUUGAAGCUUCUCUGGCGUCCUCGACAUUUUCCCAGCCCCUUCCUCGAUCUGUAAAUCAAGGCUAUUCCUCGACAUUUUCCCAGCCCCUUCCUCCAUCUGUAAAUCAAGGCUGUUUCUCCUCUCCGCCUACAUCUGCUGCCGAGCAGAGAAGUACAAACUCAGACGCCCAAGAUGAGAGGGGUGGGGAGGAAGGAGUUUGCGAUAAUUCUCCAUUCCCUACAGGUAGUUGGGGUUUUGCUUUUCUUUGGUUGCUUUCAAGUACAUAUAUUUUUUAAUUAGACAUGACUCAUACUUCGAGAUCUAAUCUCUUUAUCAUUGAGUCUUCAUAUGGACCCAAAGCUCCACCCCAAACCUAGCCGGUGUAAGCAUGAGUUCACUAUCAUAAAAGAGCAUUAGUUCCACUCUGACCUUGAAUUACAUGACAAAGCUUCUUCCAACCACUGGGUGUUGGUAGGAUCCAUGCCAAAGUACCCUGCUCUAAUUCCUGAGUAAUACAACCAUAUAUUUUAGAUCCCAUCUACAUAAUUCUACCGGGGGACAUGUUAUCACUUCUUCCCACCUCAUCACUUGCUCCCUUCUCUAACUGUCGUGUGAGUGUGUGGAGCGGAGGAAUUGGAGCGCUGUCUCUGUGACCUACAGAUGUCCUUGGGUAGCCGCUAGACCCCGUCAGAGAAGUGGGGAAAAGCUGGUUCAUGGAUGAUCAGAGAGGCCUUGUUGAAACACUACGGCAACUUCCUAGAAAAGUUUCAGCACGAUAUUGGCAGUUGUGUUCAAGAGCAAAGUGCCGCCCACAGUGUUUGACACAGGCAUGACUCAGGCCAUCAGUACACCCGUACCUUCAGCAUCCUUCUCCAAGACCCAAAUAAAAGUACCCUACUCACCUUCCGG
rnacentral:lncRNA from 1 species